UCGGAGGAGUUCUUACUACGGCACAAGAUCCAGUCCUUAAAACAAAAGACUUUGACUCCUCCCUGGUGGUUUUGCCUCUCGGGUUAAAGUCCCGAUGGAGUUAAACAUACAGAAUUUAAAGCCGAUAAUAACCCGGAUGUAUCUUUCCCACUAUGUGACCUGAGGCAAAGUAUCUGCCCACUAGAAUGAGCCUCUUCUAGGAAUAUUGCAAUACGACAAAGGUCACAUCACAAAGGCCAAGCGCUGACCACGUUCCUGACAUUGGUGGAUCUUGUAUCUAAAGUGGCAAGUCCGAAGGAAGACUGCAGAAGGCCAGAGUCCGGACAAGGAGGCCAGCCGGGCAAAGAGGCCGAAUCAGAAGCCAACGAGACUCCCAAGACUUCCAGGCUGGAGUGGAAAGGAAGUGUUUUGCUGCUAGAGGCAAGGCAGGAAACAGAACAGACCUGUGUUAGAGCAUGUCUGUCUCCCAGGACUGCGGUGCUGGAGGGGAUCGAGAGGGCCAGAAGGCCCUUUAUCCCGUUGAUAACCCGACUUUGGUCUUCAGUGUUCCUGGGAGGCUACUUGGAGGGUCAGAAGAGCGUGGAGCCUGUUAGUGCCGGAGCCUGGUCUACAGCAGGAGUCUUGCUGAGAUGGCCUGGAAGUCUCCUUUGGUGUGUUCGUGUGCAAAAUUUCCAGCAAGUACAGCCUCCUCCUGUCUUCUCGGUAAAAAUAUCUCUGCGAUGAAAUGGAACACAAUGCAAGUUCAGUAGCAGACUGCGGACAAGUGACAUAAAACUGGGAUACGAUGCUGGACAAGCGUUUGCAUCUUUCUGUUGUCUUAUGACUGUUCUAAGUGCCAUUCUGUUUUGAAGAGAGACAGAGAGAAAAAAAAAGACAAAUUUCUAAGAACAUCACACACUCCAGGUCUGGCACAGUGCCGAGGGCGCCGUCCCACCUUGAGGAUAAUACUCCCCUCUGUUGCCAUCAAACCGCUCCAGUGAUGGUGACAUCUGUCUGCCUCUGGCGUUGCUUUCAUUUGUCCUGGGCUUGGUUUCUCUCUCCCAUCUUUACGCAGCCCCUUUCUUGUCUUCUGUGUCACACACACAGUCUGGAUGUUCACCCUGUUCAGUAGUACCGUCACCCCGGGCUCCCUUCUUGACUUCUGGGCUGGGAAAUAGUGUCUUUAAUCUCCUUUUCCUCUGUCUCUGUAGAUGAUGGCUGGAUACCAGCAGAUGCAUACAUAUUCUGUUUCUGACUUCUCUGUACCCCAGACUCACAUACUCAGAUGUGCUCAGAUGUGGCCUGGAUAUCUCCUGGGCAGGACCCUGUUACCGGUCUGGGUCAAACUGGCACCUGCAUACAGAAGAAAGAGUCAGUAUGGCUGUAAACAGACAAGCCAGGAGGACCACCUGAAGGAAGAGGCAGAACAUGGGACAGCUGGAUUCUAAAGAGUACUUUUAUCUCCUUAGAUACGAUGCCAAACAAAAAAAAAAGAGUUGCCUUGGUUGGUCAUGGUGUCUGUUCACAGCAGUAAAACCUUAGCUAAGACAGAUUAAGAGAAAUAUAUGUUUACACAGUGAAAAAAAAAAACCAAAAAAAAACUAAAGGCUUUUUUAAGUGAUAAAGAGCCGAAUAAGUUAUUUAAGGUAUAUAGAAGAUGGUAUACGGUAAUAUAGUGAAUAAGAAUUAAAGAUAAUGUAUAUGAUGUUUGUUUCUAAGGUCUAAGAUUAGCAAUUACAAAGUGACUAGGUAACUGUAUGUCAAAUCAAGGUUAGAUGCUUCUCAGGUGGUGGCUUGCACGACUCUCUUUAACUCUACCAGGCUAUCACCCACCAUUCCUGUCUGUGUGUCAUUGGUGGCUGUCUCAGAGUUUCUAUGGCUACGAUGAGACACCAUGACCAAAAGCAAGUUGAGGAGACUUGCUUCCACGUCAUAGUUCAUUACUGAAGGUAGUCAAAAAAGGAACUCUCUCUGGGCAGGAACCGGGGUGUGGCAGCUGAUGCAGAGGCCAUGGAAGGGUGCUGCUUACUGGCUUGUUCCCCACGGCUUCUAAUAGAAACCACCAAUCCAGGGAUGGCCCCACCCACAAUGGGCGGGGUUCUUCCCCAUCAAUCACUAAUUAAACAAAUGCCCUACAGACUUGCCUACAGUCAGCUCUUAAAUGGAGGCAUUUUCUCAAUUGCUUUAGCUUGUGUCAAGUUGACUUUAAACUAUCCAGCACUGUGGGUCCGUAUGGAUGCGUUGUCAUCUGAAUGAUCCAUAAAGCUUUUGGGGUCUAGCAGGGAUUUAGUGUACAGCUUUUCAAACAUUCCUUACUUGAGUCUUCCAGUUUCUAAUCACCCACAGGUUACCCCAUUGGGCGGCCAUUUCCUGGGAUACAGUAAAACCUGGUGCCCUGGUUCUGGAAUGAACUGAAAUCCCCAUUGGGUGGGGGUGCUCCUUGGUUCUGAAGAACUCUGUGCCCGUGUGGACGACCUGAGGCCCUGGUCUCCGUAGAACUGGCUUGCUCUUGGUUUAAACGUUCCCAGGAGUGAGAGUUUUCUUCUAUGUUGUACUGCCUCAGGUUACUCCCUUCCAUAUUGCCAGGGAAGGGCCCUCAAGAAUCUUCCCACUCUUUCUUCUCCCAGAUGUAUGGCCUUUUGUUUGCUUCCUGGGGUCCCUGAGCUGCUCCUUCCACACCGAGGGGGAGUAGGGAACUGCCAUGCAAUGCUUAGGAUAGUGCUUGCCACACAUGCACGGGGACCUCAGUUUGGUUCCCUGGCAUGCACAUAAAUAAGCCAGGUCGUGUAGCACACAUCUAUAAACCUGGUGUGGAUGGGCCAGAGAUGGGAGGACCCUGGAGCUUCUUGGCCAGCCACUGAAACUCCUCAGUGAGUUCUAGGUCCAGUAAGGGACCUUGUCUGAAAUGAAACAAUAUAAUAGAGUACUAGAUAGAUGUCUAAGAUAAUAGAUACCUAAAGACAGAAGAGCACUAGAGAGUGACACCCAACGUGUGCAUCAUAUUCACCCACUGGCCGCUGUGUUGAAAUAUCACUAUUGUGUGAGAUACCUUGGGAUGAAGAAAGAGUUGAUGAGUCGCAUCCUGUGCUAGUGUUUUCGCCAGUGCCUGGGUGGGGAAGUGAAGCUCAAACCUGGGCUCUGAGAACCCAAGAAGAUGGACUCCAUUGUGGCUUCAGUGAGAUCAACGAUGGGUAAUGGACGAGGCACCAACGUUUCAGCUCUGCUGUAUCCUCGCUUUCCAGAUAUCAGGUUAUUUCCCUACAUGCAAAAAGCUGCUCAGCUCUGGGUUUAUGAAAUUCAGUAAAAUAUACAACUGUAAGAGCAAAGGUUACUCUGCUCCUUUGGAAUGGGUUCUGGCAAGCCAUCUCAGAUAAAGACACAAAUGUGUUCUUUGUUCGUUUCCAUGAACGGGCAUUGUACUGCUCUGAGACCCAGUCUACAUCCCCAAAAAUAAGAAUGCGUGUUUCUGAUAGGUGUUGGCUUUGCAAAACUGGGUAAAUAAGACCCACAUUUCCUAUAACCCAUGAGCACACAAGCAACGCAUUCUUCGGCUCAGGAUGGAGACAUUUAUUUUUGGCACUCUUGGUUCUCUCUGUAUUAGCUUCACAGAUUUUCUUCUGUCAGAUGUCGAUGUUGGAUGGCCCUAAAUAAAGGAUCCAGAGAAAGGGAGGGACUGAUGUUCAGCUAUGAAUCCCGAACAGAGAGCCUUGCACCGUGAAACCAGUGACCCAGGCACCACACCAGAUGGAUGCUUUACAGGGCCAAGCAGGAAAUGAAGACGGGAGACCCUGCAACACUGUGCUUAUAAUUUGUCUUCUAAACUCGUUGAUAUUUGCUCUCCAUGUUGAGAUAUUGGAAGAUUGUGAAUCUGCCUGUUGCUGUGUGACGAGCAGGCAAAAAGAACAACCCACUUCUAGUUACUCAGGCUGAUUGUCCGAACAAUCGAAGGAGGAAACCAAGCUUUUCACAGAAUUGAGAGAAGAGAGGAUGUGAAGACAGGGUCCAAGGAUAAACAAGUAAAACGGAAGCACCAGGGCAGAACUAGAAGGAGAGGAAGUCAAGACUGAAAGGCAAGUCUAUUUCAAGAGAGGCAAAGAAGCAGAAAGAAUGUGACACAGCUGUCAGUCACCAGCCACCACCAAGCGCCACACUGCAGGCCCUGAACUGCAUGCUUUUCAAAAAUCUGCAGGUGGAACACACUAUGACUGCGUGAUGAUCUCUUAUUCUGGGCAGUGCGGGACACAGCCCGCUUCUGAUGAGCCAAAUGGAGCAGAGCCUCCACCUCUUUCUCACAUAUCAUGCAUUGGUGACAGUUAGCGCCUCACUCCCUGGGCUUGCCCGACAAAUCUCACACUCGCUCCCUUGUCCCUUGUGGGUCCCAGUAGCGCCGCUCUCUCUGAAGCUCCUGAACCAACCUUUCCGUGGUACCCAGAUAUUCCUCCAGCUCCAAGACACAGGCACUCAGCAUCUCCAGUCUCUGCUGGUCCUGCUCAGCUCGGGUGCGUACAUUGGCCAGCUCCCCUUCCAGGGUGCUCUGCUCUGUCCCCAGGGUCGUGGCCUGCUCCUGGACCUCUCUGAGAUGUUUCCGAAGCCCCCGGUUCUCCCGUUCCAGCGUUUGAGUCUUCUCCCGAUAGCGUUUCAACUCUUCACUGAGGUCAAACAACUGGCCCUUCAGGUCCCAGGCAAGGGCGUUUGCCAGGUCUCUUCCUUACCACUACAGGAGCAGUGGAUGUGCCAGGCUUCUGGGCAGGAACAGUGGGAGCUGGCUUCUGGUUCCUCAGCACUGUACCAACAGUAGAGCACCCACGAGGUCCUGCCUUCUUAGGGCCUUUCUGAGCUGCAGUGUGGCCCUGGGUCUGUGACACUGUGCUGAAGAGUGGUCCUCUGGGACGGGAUAUGUCAACUUUGGUCACUGCACCCAUGCCUCGUGUCCGUUUCUUUACGGGCUCCAAGGCAUCCUCCAUCUGGUCAGGACCUCUCUUGAGCCUGCUUGCUGACGGGGCACUCGGGAGGAGAACUUGACCAGGCUUGUCUUCAGCUCUACAUUCCUCUUCACUUCCAACAAAGGUGGCCUCUGCGCCUGCACGUCCAUGGUGGUCCGCACAGGACGGGAUGCAAAGGCAGCAGGCAGGGUGCCGGUGUCCCGAGACUCACAUCCUCUCAAGGGCUCGCACUGCAAAACGCCGGAGCCAGGCCGUCCAGGAGCCAGGCUAAUCUGCCACACUAAUCCGCCAUACUUGCCACUUUUGAAUUUCUGUUCUUUCUUUUCGACACAAGAUCUUACUAUGUAGCCCCGCCUGGCUUUUUAGUACAAAAUAAUUGUUAAGCCAAAGUGGCAAAUUUUGGGUGUUACAUUCUUUCUACCUUUACCAGAUUUUGUUAAUGUACUUAACUACUGAUGAACACUACAGUUCCUAGUCAUCCUCUUCCUCCUCCUCCUCCUCUUUGUAAAUACUUUCAAAGUGGUCCAUCAAGACGCCCUCCUGCCCUACGCCCCCAAGAAAAAGAAUAAUGGUGUCUCCAAAAGGAGUCCUUCUGGGUACAAUUUGUCUGUUGUU
rnacentral:lncRNA from 1 species